UGAAAGUCCUCCUGCCAGUUCCAUCGCGACUGGUUCCGCCAAAACUCUGAUCAUGUGCCUCUUAAAGGAAGUUGGGAGCACAGGCGCAGAGCAUAGAAAGCUGAAGGGGCUUUGGGGGAUCCUGGCUUUGGGGUACCUUCCGGUUUCCACCGACUAACAGAUCAUCCUGGAAAUGUUUUCCUGCCAUUGCUUAACCCUGUGCAGACACCUUGGGCCCCAUGGCUCCCUUUGUGUAACGGAUGGCACAAAUUGGGUUGACAUCUUGGACAGGAAGGAAAUCGUCCCUAUACUUGAAUUCAAGACUGACUUCCAAAUGAGAACGAAAUCAACAUAGUAGACAAGGAGGCUGGGAAGAUCUGACUCUCUCCAGAAGCAGCAUUGCCACCUUGCUGCCACUGGGAACUAGAACUGCUGUCUUUCUCACAGAAUCUUAUUCUCGAAAGACAAGUCACACUUUUUGCUCUCGGGGCAGAGCCAUGUAUCCCAGGCUCUUCCUUUUUUCCUUUGCCCUCUCGCCUUUAUUCAAGCUCAUUGAUUCUUUGUUUCAGUGGGAGCUUCCAAGAGAAAUGGAGUAAAUCAUUCAGCAAGGGGAAGACAUCAGCCAUCUAGAAUCCUCAACAUUAAUUUAGAAUUCACUUUUAUAUGGUUUAAACCAUGAAUAAACAAUAGACAAGGGAUGGGAGACUGAGGGAAGGAGAAAAGUGGAUCAUCUAGUGAGGCUCGUGGAAACAAAUGAAUCUACUGUGUCCACACUGACUCAGUACAACUCGUUUCUGGUCUCCAGGAGCUUAGAGUCCAGUUGGGGAGAAAAGACAUACUCAUCAUUUAUGAGACACGGUGA